CUGCGCCACGAGUGGCAAUCAUGUAUUUGGCCUAAAGCGUCCGUAGCCGGUUUGGCAAAUCUUCUGUGAAAUCGAGCAGCUCAACUGUUCGGCGGGCAGGAGACACUACCAAACUUGGAACCGGGAGGGGUACAGAGUAUUCCAGGGGAAGCGGUAAAAUGCUAUAAUCCCUGGAGGACUACCUAUGGCGAAGGCACUGUACCAGAACGGAUUCGACGGUGAGGGACGAAAGCCAGGGGAGCGAUCCGGAUUAGAUACCCGAGUAGUCC
rnacentral:rRNA from 1 species